UGGGGAAUAUUCCGCAAUGGGCGAAAGCCUGACGGAGCAAUACCGCGUGAGGGAGGAAGGUUCUUGGAUUGUAAACCUCUUUUCUCUGGGAAGAAUUCUUGACGGUACCAGAGGAAUCAGCAUCGGCUAACUCCGUGCCAGCAGCCGCGGUAAUACGGAGGAUGCAAGCGUUAUCCGGAAUGAUUGGGCGUAAAGCGUCUGUAGGUGGCAGUUCAAGUUCAUUGUCAAAGACUGGGGCUUAACCUUGGAAAGGCAGUGGAAACUGAGCAGCUAGAGAGUGGUAGGGGUAGAGGGAAUUCCCGGUGUAGCGGUGAAAUGCGUAGAGAUCGGGAAGAACACCAGUGGCGAAAGCGCUCUACUGGACCAGUUCUGACACUGAGGGACGAAAGCUAGGGGAGCG
rnacentral:rRNA from 1 species